rnacentral:rRNA from 1 species
GACAGAGGGUGCAAACGUUGUUCGGAAUUACUGGGCGUAAAGCGCGUGUAGGCUGCUUCGAAAGUCGGAUGUGAAAGCCCUGGGCUCAACCGUGGAAGUGCAUCCGAAACUGCAUGGCUGGAGUCUCGGAGAGGAAGGUGGAAUGCUUGGUGUAGAGGUGAAAUUCGUAGAUAUCAAGCAGAACACCUGCGGCGAAGGCGGCCUUCUGGACGAUGACUGACGCUGAGACGCGAAAGCGUGGGGAGCAAACAGG